CAGGGUGCUCCUGCCACUUUAAGGGCCUGGAGCUGGCAGCCUCCAGGUGCCUGAUUAGGGCAGCCAUUUUGGGGCCUAUAUAAACCAGGCAGUUUGGCUGCAGGAGGUCAGACAGCAACAUUGCUUGGCCUUAGGGCUGCUGUGUACGACCCGGAGAUCCCCACCACUGCGCCUGGACUCCUGCCACCACUGCUGCUCCACACAUCCCCUGGGACCUGCAUCUUGGCCUGCAGCUGUGCUCCUGGAGGAACCCCUGGGAUCCAGAUCUAGUCCAGGUAAAUACAGCUCUACUAACAAGAGGGGAAGUCCUGAAACAGUGCUCACCUUGUCUGCUGACCGUGGCCUGGUGUGAAC